rnacentral:rRNA from 1 species
GUGUCAGCCGCCGCGGUAAGACAGAGGGUGCAAACGUUGUUCGGAAUUACUGGGCGUAAAGCGCGUGUAGGCGGUCGGGCAAGUCGGGUGUGAAAGCCCAGGGCUCAACCCUGGAAGUGCAUUCGAUACUGCCUGGCUAGAGUCCCGGAGAGGAUGGUGGAACUCUCGGUGUAGAGGUGAAAUUCGUAGAUAUCGAGAAGAACACCGGUGGCGAAGGCGGCCAUCUGGACGGUGACUGACGCUGAGACGCGAAAGCGUGGGGAGCAAACAGGAUUAGAAACCCCCGUAGUCC